rnacentral:misc_RNA from 1 species
GGAGGGAUCAUUCUUACGUUCUAGCGUAUCAACCAAACGUGAACUUCUUUUCAAGCGCAAUAUAAGGUAUUGGGUAACUGAUAUGUUAUAUUGUGUGUGACUAGAAAACCUAUCCGAACCUGUAUCAUGGGUAUAACAGUUGUAAGUGAGAUCAUAGUGGAUCGACUAUUGUAAGGGUGUGACAAGAGGAAUGUGACAUGUAUGAUUUCGAUUCGUCAAACUGGAAACGGUUUGAUGAAUAGCAUGAUAUGUGAAGCAGGGUACUUGUCAUAUGUGGUCAGUGAAUAGAGUAGCAAUAUUCUAUUGAUUGAUUGUCGUAUAAUAGGAGAUGAUUUCGAAUUCAACAAGAUAUAGAAGAUGAAAAUUGACUGUGUCAUGUUAUACUCCGUAUAGGCCAAUGGCGAUCUAUUAUCAGUCUCAGCUGUUUAUCUUCGGAUGGCAGAUGGGAGUGAUAGUAGUGAGUCAUAAAUAAAUCUCCUGCUUCCACUAGGCAAAAAACCCCAAACUUAUUUCACACUAACUAUACCCCAAUUGACUAACUUAGAGAAGGGAAAGCGGGCAGCGAGUUAUUAUAGAUGAGGUUGUGUAUUCAUUUCCAUGCCUUCGGGUGGACGUUAUGGAUAGACAGUUCUGUCUAUAGUGAUAGAGACCUGUGCGUAUACAUUUCUUAUUCUCUGUUUCCAGUCGUACGACUGAAACAUUAAGAGUACAACUCUUAGCAAUGGAUAUCUAGGUUCUCGCAACGAUGAAGAACGCAGCGAAAUGCGAUAUGUAAUGCGAAUUGCAGAAUUCAGUGAAUCAUCGAAUCUUUGAACGCAAAUGGCGCUUUCGGGAUACUCCUGAAAGCACGCUUCUCUCAGUAUCAGUUUCAACCCCAUAUCAAUUCGUGAUGUGAUUAAUGAAUCUAAUUGACUUGCUUUCAUAUGACUGAGCACGGUGGCGGUGUGAUAUUCCUCACGGAGUGUCUCCUGCUGGUGAGCAGAAAUAUGAGAAUGAAUUGAUUGGUGGAGUGAUUGCCUCUCACUUAUUGGAGAAUGAGAGUCUUAUUGUGCAUACGAUGAGUCUCUUGAAAUACAAAUUUUAGUCAUGCUUUAUGUUCGUACUAGUACGUCUAUGCGUUCGCGCCGUAGACUUAGCCAUAUUAUUGGUGAACAUAUUAUUAGUUGACGUGGAUAAUCUGAUAUCGUAUGUAGAUUCGUCUAUAUAGGAUAACAGUACUGAAACGUCUUGAUUAGUGAUAUGUCUACCCAUGCAAAAUAGUAUGUGUGAAUAAGCUGGAUACGAAGCAAGAGUAGACCACCACUACGGACGAAAACGUUAAAGUCUUGUAUGUCUUCAUACGGUAUCGCACUCGUGUUCUACUUAUGUGUUGAGUAACAAACUGUUUUGUGUCUUUGAAAAAUUCGAUCUGAGAUGAAGUGAGACUACCCCCUGAAUUUAAGCAUAUUAAUAAGGGGAGGAAAAGAAACUAACUAGGAUUCCCCCAGUAACGGCGAGUGAAGCGGGAAAAGCUCAAGCUGAAAAUCAGUCAUUCAAGUGAGUGAUCUGAAUUGUAGCAUCGAGACUUGAUAUCAGCGUGUGACCUAGGUCCAAGUCCUUUGGAAUUGGGCAUCAGUGAGGGUGAGAAUCCCGUUCAUGAUCUAGAGUUCACCGCGUACGAUUCAUGUUCACAGAGUCGAGUUGUUUGGGAUUGCAGCUCGAAAUGGGUGGUAAGUUUCAUCCAAAGCUAAAUAUAGGCGAGAGACCGAUAGCGAACAAGUACCGUGAGGGAAAGAUGAAAAGAACUUUGAAAAGAGAGUGAAAAAGUACUUGAAAUUGCUAAGAGGGAAGCGCUGGGAAGCAGUACUGUGUUAUUUACAUUUUGCCUAUCUAGAGUUAUUCUCUUAUAUUAUGUAUGUGGGUAACCCAUAUGUGGUGUAGCGAGAGUGACUAUGGGUAGGUCCUGUGUGAAUGACUGGUCAGAAUCAGUUCGAAUUGUGGGAGAAAAUGUAGAGAAAGGUAGGAUAGGGGCAACUUUAUCUGUUAUAGACUUUACACUAUUACCAUGAUUUGGACUGAGGAAGUAGUGAUGCGCCACUAGGCGUGUCUGUCUGUUCCUCUUUUGCUAUUGGAUUUUAGGUCAAUGACCUGCUGUCUAAUGUGUGAGAAGAUGUGUGCGGUACAGAUUUCUGCAUCACCACGAUUCUGACAAAAUGCUUCUCAUCGACCCGUCUUGAAACACGGACCAAGGAGUCUAACAUCUAUGCAAGUAUUUGGGUGUGAAAAACCCGCAUGCGAAAUGAAAGUAAAGGUAAACUUGUUUUACUGAGGUAGGAACUCCCGUGACAAGGAGGGCACUAUUGACCGAUCCAUAUUUAUAUGAGAUUUGAGUAAGAGCAUAUCUGUUGGGACCCGAAAGAUGGUGAUCUAUGCCUGAACAGGGUGAAGCCAGGGGAAACUCUGGUGGAGGCUCGUAGCGAUACUGACGUGCAAAUCGUUCGUCUGAUUUGGGUAUAGGGGCGAAAGACUAAUCGAACUAUCUAGUAGCUGGUUCCCUC